UGUUUACGUACUACUUUCAAUGUACUGAUAUUUUUAGUUUCUAAUUAAAUUGAGUUAAAGGGUUUAUGAGGUUUAGGAGUGGGCUCAUCCCACUCCUUUGGGCCACAGUUUACGAUAAGAAGGGGAUUAGGUAAUCCUCCUUAUCCCAUUUCAACCCCCAUAACCCCCCUUCAUAACCCCCAUUCUUGCCGACUGUAAAUCGUUUGAAACUCUGUCUUAAUCUGUGGUGAAAUUCGUGGGAAUCUGUCGUCUUCUUCGUCUUUCCCGUUCCUUAUUCCUCUUCUUUUCCAAAUCUGAGCUCUUUCAACCAUUUUUCCCAUUUUUCUCUCCAAAUCUACCCAUGUUUUUCCUCUUUUUGUUUUCCAGCAUCCUUUCAUUCAUGUCCCAAAAAUCUCAUCGUUUUCAUCCCGACCUUCACCCCUUUGUUGUCCAAAUCUCAAAUCUUCAAUAACCUAACCCUUUUGUUGAUGGCAGUGUUUCAACAUUGCCUCUGAAGUGGGUUCUCCUUCCAUUUUUUUGGUUUUGUUGAAUGGUUUGUGUUUCACAUAUUGCCUCCGAAACUUUUCGCCUUCCGCUCUCUGAUUCGUUGCAUGGCUUUGCUGUAAGUGUUGCCGCUUUGAUGUCUACUUUGCCGGUUUUCAUUUGGACCGAAAAGGGCCUUCAAUGGACAGAACCUACAUCGAUAGGGGCAUCGGUGGAGCAUGAUAAGGGUGACUGGAUUCCCUCGCUAGGUAACAAAGUUGCCACCCCCCAUAUGCCAUUUUCCAUUUUCUAAGUUGUAUGCGUUUAGAGCAACCACCUAAUGGCGUUUUGGUUUUUUCCUUUUGGUCACUAACAAUGAACUUGUUAAUGAUGUAAUUUUUUGGACUUUCUAUAUAUUUCUUUUCGAUAAAUUUGUUACUUAUGUAUUUCUUA